rnacentral:rRNA from 1 species
CUGCAACUCGCCUGCGUCAAGUUGGAAUUGCUAGUAAUCGCGGAUCAGCAUGCCGCGGUGAAUACGUUCCCGGGCCUUGUACACACCGCCCGUCACACCAUGAGAGUCGGGAACACCCGAAGUCCGUAGUCUAACCGCAAGGAGGGCGCGGCCGAAGGUGGGUUCGAUAAUUGGGGUGAAGUCGUAACAAGGUAGC